rnacentral:rRNA from 1 species
UGAAUUGACGGGGAGCACCACAACAGGUGGAGCCUGCGGUUUAAUCGGACUCAACGCCGGGAAACUCACCAGAUAAGACAGCUGAAUGAUAGUCGGGCUGAAGACUCUACUUGACUAGCUGAGAGGAGGUGCAUGGCCGUCGUCAGUUCGUACUGUGAAGCAUCCUGUUAAGUCAGGCAACGAGCGAGACCCACGCCCACAGUUGCCAGCGUACUCUCUGGAGUGACGGGUACACUGUGGGGACCGCCGCUGCUAAAGCGGAGGAAGGAAUGGGCAACGGUAGGUCAGUAUGCCCCGAAUAUCCCGGGCUACACGCGAGCUACAAUGGUUGGUACAAUGGGUAUCUACCCCGAAAGGGGACGGGAAUCUCCUAAAACCAAUCUUAGUUCGGAUUGAGGGCUGCAACUCGCCCUCAUGAAGCUGGAAUCCGUAGUAAUCGCGUUUCAACAGAACGCGGUGAAUACGUCCCUGCUCCUU